UGGGAACAUGAGUGAGCAGUGAAGCUAGAUGUGGGUGAAAUUGCCUCGAAGAAAACCCUGUACAGCACUCAGGAAGUUGAUUUUUGUAGUGGCGAGGGCAGUGGUUCCACACCACGGAGGACGGAGCCCUGCAGGCAGCAGGUGAUGGCGGUGAUGUCCGGACCCGGCCAAAUGUGGCAGGAGGAACCCGAGGAAGUGCUUCUCAGCUAAAACGUGCCCUGGUAACGGUGCUUUUCGUCUGUCUCUUAUUGGUAGGCUCUUUUAGCAUCCUGGAGUUCCUUGACCUUAACUAAUGAAAGGGAAAAUGUGCGGUUUUCAAAGGCAAUGGUGAAUAGGAUAUGAGACUGUUAUUGAAUUGUCUGCAGCUCUGCGUGCGGCUUCAGCAGAGUUUUGCGAAAUCCAAAAUGAGUCCUGGUGCUCUAAUUACUGCAGAAAUAAACUGAAGUGUUUUUAAUGUAUAUCUAUAUCGAGGCUUCGUAACACUGGGCAGAACAGCUGUUAGACAGUGAUUUGCCAAAAUACCUACAUUCAAUUUGGGCAGUUGGUGAACUGUAGUAUUUGCCAAAUCAUGGACCAGACAGACACUUAUUCCAAUUUUACGGUCUUAUUUGCUGCCGCAAUAAACUUGGGGUCAAGAAGCUUCAAUGUAAAUUGAAAGCAAAGCACUGUGGCUAAGUGACUUACACCGUGCUUCAUUCUGCUGCAGCUCCACUUCAAAAUGUAUUUAAUAUAAGCUCUGAAACAAAAUGAUGCGAAAUGUUAACCCUGCUCGGGCAGGACAGGACCAAAAAUGCUGAGACAUGUUUAUUCAUGACUUUCAGUGCAGCGAGCGUCAUAUAAUUGAAGCAGGCAAUGGGUCACUGAAUUCACGCAGAGCAUCACGCUUUCAGAGCGUCUUUUCUGUAGGAAUAGAUCAGUGCAAUUUACAGCAGAGUAAUGCGGACGAGGAGAGCAGCAAUCCAGCUGGGCUGGGGCUGUGCAGACAGCUCUCGGUCUGGUCUCGGGGAAAAGACGUGUGGGACCGAGGCGGUGGCGCUGGGCUCUGCUGGAACCUGCAAGGGAGAAUCGCCCGGGGGAACCACUGAGAGACCCAGGGCAGCAGCAGGUGAUUCAGCAAAACAGAACGGAUGGACGGGUGGAGGGAAGGAAGGAAGGAAGGAGGGAAGGAAGGACUUUUUGGACUCUCCUCUAAUUUAUUCAGACGUUGUAAAAUCCAAUGUUUUCACCAGAGAGAAAGUAGUAUAGAAACAGGGCCGGGAAUAAGUAGCCUCUCCUCCCCAUAAGCAGGGGUGUCUUCUCCUCACCAGAUCCUGCCCAUUCGCCUCCCUUUCAGUUUCAACCAACAGGCAAAUAAAGUAUCUGGCAGAUAUGCCA
rnacentral:lncRNA from 1 species